rfam:Tepidibacillus sp. Z9 scaffold00001, whole genome shotgun sequence.
CUCUGAUUCGCAAAUGAAUCAGGGCAGAAAGAG